AACGCCGCGUGAGUGAUGAAGGUUUUCGGAUCGUAAAACUCUGUUGUUAGGGAAGAACAAGUACCGUUCAAAUAGGGCGGUACCUUGACGGUACCUAACCAGAAAGCCACGGCUAACUACGUGCCAGCCCCGGCGGUGACUGAGCGGGCUGGCAAGGCGCAUA
rnacentral:rRNA from 1 species